GACGAACGCUGGCGGCGUGCUUAACACAUGCAAGUCGAACGAAGAGCGAUGGAAGCUUGCUUCUAUCAGUCUUAGUGGCGAACGGGUGAGUAACGCGUAAUCAACCUGCCCUUCAGAGGGGGACAACAGUAGGAAACGACAGCUAAUACCGCAUACGACCGAACCUCGGCAUCGAGGAGGGAGGAAAGGUGGCCGCUAUUUAUAAGCUAUCACAGAAGGAGGGGGGUGCGUCAGAUUAGCUAGUAGGAGGGGUAACGGCGCACCAAGGCGAGGUUCAGUAGUCGGUCGGCGAGGACGAGCGGCCACCUUGGGAGUGAGACCCGCCCCAGACGCCUUCGGGAAGCGGCCGUGGGGAUUCUUCCGCCAUGGACGAAAGACUGACGGCGCUGCGCCGCGUGAGGAAUGACGGCCUUCGGGUUGUAAAGCUCGGUUUAUCGGGACGAAAGGCCUUUUUGCGAAUACUUAGAGGGAUUGACGGUACCGGGAUAGAAAGCAACGGCUAACUACGUG
rnacentral:rRNA from 1 species